rnacentral:rRNA from 1 species
AGUGAACGCUGGCGGUAGGCCAAACACAUGCAAGUCGAACGGCAGCACAGGAGAGCUUGCUCUCUGGGUGGCGAGUGGCGGACGGGUGAGGAAUACAUCGGAAUCUACUCUGUCGUGGGGGAUAACGUAGGGAAACUUACGCUAAUACCGCAUACGACCUACGGGUGAAAGCAGGGGACCUUCGGGCCUUGCGCGAUUGAAUGAGCCGAUGUCGGAUUAGCUAGUUGGCGGGGUAAAGGCCCACCAAGGCGACGAUCCGUAGCUGGUCUGAGGGGAUGAUCAGCCACACUGGAACUGAGACACAGUCCAGACUCCUACGGGAGGCAGCAGUGGGGAAUAUUGGACAAUGGGCGCAAGCCUGAUCCAGCCAUACCGCGUGGGUGAAGAAGGCCUUCGGGUUGUAAAGCCCUUUUGUUGGGAAAGAAAUCCAGCUGGCUAAUACCCGGUUGGGAUGACGGUACCCAAAGAAUAAGCACCGGCUAACUUCGUGCCAGCAGCCGCAGUAA